CUUAGCAUAUCAAUAAGCGGAGGAAAAGAAACCCACCGGGAUUGCCCUAGUAACGGCGAGUGAAGCGGCAAGAGCUCAAAUUUGAAAGCUGGCCCCCUCGGGGUCCGCAUUGUAAUUUGCAGAGGAUGCUUCGGGAGCGGUCCCCAUCUAAGUGCCCUGGAACGGGCCGUCAUAGAGGGUGAGAAUCCCGUAUGGGAUGGGGUGCCCGCGCCCGUGUGAAGCUCCUUCGACGAGUCGAGUUGUUUGGGAAUGCAGCUCUAAUUGGGUGGUAAAUUUCAUCUAAAGCUAAAUAUUGGCCGGAGACCGAUAGCGCACAAGUAGAGUGAUCGAAAGAUGAAAAGCACUUUGAAAAGAGAGUUAAACAGCACGUGAAAUUGUUGAAAGGGAAGCGCUUGCGAUCAGACUCGCCCACGGGGUUCAGCCGGCAUUCGUGCCGGUGUACUUCCCCGCGGGCGGGCCAGCGUCGGUUUGGGCGGUCGGUCAAAGGCCCCUGGAAUGUAACGCCUCUCGGGGCGUCUUAUAGCCAGGGGUGCCAUGCGACCUGCCCGGACCGAGGAACGCGCUUCGGCUCGGACGCUGGCAUAAUGGUCGUAAGCGACCCGUCUUGAAACACGGACCAAGGAGUCUAACAUCUACGCGAGUGUUCGGGUGUCAAACCCGUGCGCGCAGUGAAAGCGAACGGAGGUGGGAACCCUCACGGGUGCACCAUCGACCGAUCCUGAUGUCUUCGGAUGGAUUUGAGUAAGAGCGUAGCUGUUGGGACCCGAAAGAUGGUGAACUAUGCCUGAAUAGGGCGAAGCCAGAGGAAACUCUGGUGGAGGCUCGCAGCGGUUCUGACGUGCAAAUCGAUCGUCAAAUUUGGGUAUAGGGGCGAAAGACUAAUCGAACCAUCUAGUAGCUGGUUCCUGCCGAA
rnacentral:rRNA from 1 species